UGGGAAUGAAUGAGUCUGCGCAUUUGUC
rnacentral:piRNA from 1 species